GAGGGCUCCUAAGGCUGCCCUGCCUGCCUUUCCCUCCAUCACGGACAACAGUCACUGGCCUGGCUCGGAGGCCUUGAUUCCACUUAGCCAAGAGGCACACACCAGGACCUGGAGGACAACCCCGGGAAGGCCUGGGGGUCUGUUCCACAGCUGCCUCAACAGGAGGGUGGGGGAACAGCUCAACAAUGGCUGAUGGGCGCUCCUGGUGUUGAUAGAGAUGGAACUUGGACUUGGAGGCCUCUCCACGCUGUCCCACUGCCCCUGGCCUAGGCAGCAGGCUCCACUUGGUCUCUCCGCGCAGCCUGCCCUGUGGCCCACCCUGGCCGCUCUGGCUCUGCUGAGCAGCGUCGCAGAGGCCUCCCUGGGCUCCGCGCCCCGCAGCCCUGCCCCCCGCGAAGGCCCCCCGCCUGUCCUGGCGUCCCCCGCCGGCCACCUGCCGGGGGGACGCACGGCCCGCUGGUGCAGUGGAAGAGCCCGGCGGCCGC
rnacentral:lncRNA from 10 species